GGCCAUAGCUCAGUGGCAGAGCAUCCGCUUUGCAUGCAGAAGGUCCCAGGUUCAAUCCCCAGCAUCUCCA
rnacentral:tRNA from 1 species